rnacentral:rRNA from 1 species
AAUAAAAAACAAUACUGUGAACAAACCAGAGUGUAUAAAACAUGUAAUAUAUUAUAUAUUUAGCAAUGAAUGUUUUAUCAUGGAAUAUUGCUAAUUGAUACUGUAUUUCAUGUUUCGAUGGAGAUAGUUGGAGUUAAGAGUACUGAUAGGCGAGCGGUGAAAUGCAUUGACCCUAUUAAGACUAACAAAAGCGAAAGCACUUAACUAGAUUAUUCUCUUUGUAUUAUUACAAUGAAGAGCGAAGGUUGGGGGAACAAAGAGGAUCAGAUACCCUCGUAGUCCUAUUUUUACAUCAAACUAUGGGAUUUCAAUCAACCAAUAUAUAUACAUGUAAUAUAUAAUAUAAUUGAGUCAUUAAUACUGACUCUUAUAUUUAAAUGUUAUUCAUUUAUUGAUUAUAUGUACUUUGAGCUCAUAUAAUUAUAUAGGUGAGAUGUAAGCAUUAUAGGAUUUUCAUAAUAUAUAAGUAAUAUUAUAUUAUUAUGAUCCUUAUUUAUAAAAAUGUAAUGUGAUG